AUUCGGUGAGGAGUUGGACUCGGACCGAAGUGAUGAGAGUAAAAAUACCUACUGUGGCAGACUUGAAGAUAUCGCAUCAGUCCACUUCGGCAGGACAGUGAAUCCUGCUGUUUUACAAGCAGGGGGUGAAGGAAAUGUUCUGAACAACGCGCACCGGCUUUGUGUGGACCAUCUGUCAUUGUAUUGACAUACAGCAGCCCUCCUGCCCCCAAAGAAUCCGAGCGAGACACCUGAAGAGCAGAAAACAGACAGCGGAUCGUUCAGAGCCGCCACCCGUCUCUCACAAAGCCGUGACUCAUGCUGUGAUCUGUCUGUGUGGAUGGGUGUUCCUGAUGCUGACUUGUGACUCCAUGAAGAUCAUAUCCAUCAGAUGCUGUUACGACCAAUUUUGAGCUGGAGAUGAAAGGACUUCAAGUUCCUCUGAUUAAUGAGGAGGUGGUAAUGCAACAAAGCAGAUUGUCUCAGUUUAUGUUCCAGCUUAAAAGCACCACAUGAUCAUGUAUAAUAAAACCAGAGCCAUCUUAACCUUUGGACAGUUGACUCAGUCUGCCACUGUCCUGCGUCAUUAUGUCCCUGUGCUGUGCGACCUGACCUCUGUGGUUUGAGCGACGUCCUCAGCUCUGUCCCUGCCUCCCGCUUGUCUGACUUGUCUGUCCUCCCUCCUCUACGCCCUGCACGUGUCUGUCAGCUCGGCUCACGCUCACGCGCCGCUGUCCUGCUUGCCUCGGUGAACAUUCAACGCUGUCGGUGAGUUUGGUAUGGAUCACAUAAAAACCAUCGACCGUUGACUGUGCCCCGUGGCUUGCUCCGACGACGUCAGGAAAGAGCAGAAACGAACAAAAGGGCAAGUGGGCACAUGCUAAUCCAGAGACGAAGACAUACAGAUGCAUAAAAGUUAAACUCUGUUUCCACUGUGCCCAAAGACCAAAGGUCACAAUCAACAUUCAUUGCUGUCGCUGGGUUGGACUGUGUAGAAAAGCUCACUGAACAAUGAGUGCAACUGUGGCCCAGAUCUGCCUGACUCGUGUCUCAGCCAAUCAGCCGACCGGAUGUGAAGCACUCUGAUUUCUUUAUUUAUAUACUUCUUGUUUUUCACUUCUAUUUUCUCCACUCUUCCUCCCUCCCCGGUGCUGGGAGUCUUCAGGGGAAGAGAGAGAGAGAGAGACACAAAUAGACUUCUGGCUGCUUGCUUGUCCUCAUCCUCCUCUUUUCUCCUCUAAUUGGUGGUUAUGUGUGCAGCAAGGGGGAAGGAAGCGGAGUGAAUGUGUAAUCAUUUGGAGUCUCUUCUCCUUUAGAUGUUUCAUCCCUCUCUUUUUUGUUCGUCUAAUUAUAUACUGAGCUCGGUUAACUCUGUGUUCACUGUGCGUCCGUGCUGGGAAGAAUGAAGGAGUGACAGAGAGAGGGAGGACAAGGUGAAACAAAAAAGUAGAAAGAUUAUAGCACCAGCAAAAUGAUGAUCCUGUUUUUAGCAUAUUUUGUAUAAUAUAAUAAUCUUCCUGGUGUUGCUGCAAAUGUGCCCCGGAUAUAAGCAAUUUCCAAAUGCAGAAAGAAGAUUGUUUUCACCUUUCUGACUGAGCACAUCUCAUUAUUUGUGUUUGAGUUUCAUGAGACUGUCUGGUUUCCUGCCUGACUCUGUGCGCGCGUGUGUGUGUGUGUGUGUGUGUGUGUGUGUGUGCGUGCGUGCGUGCACGUAUGCCAUGACAGAGGACCUGUCUGGUGAUCUCAGAGUGCAAUAUGUUAUUUUCUUUCUAUACUAAAGCAGUCAGCUCCCUCAUUGGAAAACACAGUCUAUAACCUUGUCUUCCUUCAGACAGUCUGGGACCGGCCACGCUGCUGCCAUUUCUCAUUGCGCCCUUCUGUUACAACUCUUUGAUCUGUGUCUUUUAUCUGUAAUUCACGGCAUGUAAACACACAGCUCAUAUAUAUGUAGGAAUGUGCUUAAUGAAGUGCUGAUGUUUGCUGAGUUAAUUAAUUAAAUAAAGUUCAAUUAGACUG